rnacentral:rRNA from 1 species
AAGAGCUAGUCGGUGUUUGUGAGGGCACUAUUGGUUCAUUUGUUGGAGUACGUGUUACCGUAGGUGUUGUUGUUGAAGUAGUAGUGUUUGUUGGUGUAGUAGUAGGUGUGCUAGUAGCGUCAGGAAAAGAAAACAAAGUGAUUCCCGUAGUAGUGGUGAGCGAAAUGGGAACAGCCUAAACCGUUAUUAUGUAAACCUGCAAGUGUUUUAAUAGCGGUGUUGUGGGGAUAAAUGUUCAAGAAUUGCAGAUCUUGGAAUGUUGUGUAUAGGUUAGCAAAGAUACUCUGGAAAGGGUUGCCAAAGAGAGUGAUAGCCUCGUAUGCGAAAACUUACUAUACAGCAUAAUUUGUUGCCCGAGUAUCAUGGAGCACGUGAAAUUCCGUGAGAAUCUGUCCCGACCAUGGGAUAAGGCUAAAUACUACCUAAUGACCGAUAGUGAACAAGUACCGUGAGGGAAAGGUGAAAAGAACCCCGGAAGGGGAGUGAAAUAGAAUCUGAAACCAAACGUUUAUAAGCGGUGGUAGCGAUGUAUACGUACGCGCAACCACGUACCUUUUGCAUAAUGGGCCAACGAGUUACUCUUAUGUUGCAAGGUUAAGUUUAGAAAGAACGGAGCCGUAGCGAAAGCGAGUCUGAAUAGGGCGUUAGUAACAUGAGGUAGACCCGAAACCUAGUGAGCUUUCCAUGUCCAGGAUGAAGUCUUAGUAAAAUAAGAUGGAGGUCCGAACCGGUGUAGGUUGAAAACUGCUCGGAUGAGGUGUGGAAAGGGGUGAAAGGCUAAUCAAACUGGGAGAUAGCUGGUUCUCUCCGAAAUAUAUUUAGGUAUAGCCUCGCUGGAUUAACUAUAGGGGUAAAGCACAGUUUAGAUUUUGGGGUCGCAAGAUUACCAUGUCUUUACUAACUCUGAAUACUGUAGUUUUAGAAGGCGGGAGACAGACUGCGUGAGAUAAGUUGCGUGGUCGAAAGGGAAACAGCCCAGACCGCCAGCUAAGGUCCCCAAGUGUACAUUAAGUGGGAAAAGAAGUGGAAAUACAUAGACAGCCAGGAGGUUGGCUUAGAAGCAGCCAUCCUUUAAAGAAAGCGUAAUAGCUCACUGGUCAAGUGUUUUUGCGCUGAAGAUAAACGGGGCUAAAUGUACCACCGAAGCUGCGGCUUGUUAGAUAUUUAUAUCUAGCAGGGGUAGGAGAGCGUUCGCUAAUAGAUACUAGCUUGACUGUGAAGACAAGUGAUGGAUUAGCGCAGUGAUUAUGUUGGCAUAAGUAACGAAAAAAUAGGUGAAAAUCCUAUUCGCCGUAAGUCUAAGGUUUCCGUGAGAUCGGUUCAUCCACUCAGGGUUAGUCGGCUCCUAAGUCGAGGCCAAUUGGAAUAGACGAUGGGAAACAGGUAAAAUAUUCCUGUACCACUUGACAACGUUUGAGUGAUGGGGUGACGCAGAAAGAUAGGUUAACGUGGCUCUUGGAUAUGCCACGCUAAGCACAAAGAGAGACUUUAUUGGCAAAUCCGUAAAGUUGUUAAAUUGAAGUGUUAUGGGUAUACAGAGGUCUAGUACCGACGUGUAUUUAACUGACUCUACGCUGACAAGAAAAACCUCUAGCAAGUUGUUUGAGUGACCGUACCGUAAACUGACACAGGUAGACGAGCAGAGAAUGCUCAGGCGUUGAGAUAACUAUCAUUAAGGAACUCGGCAAAAUAGCCUCGUAACUUCGGGAGAAGAGGUGCCUACGGUGUGAAAGCACUUGUGGGUUUCAACAAAGAGGCCCAACCGACUGUUUAACAAAAACACAGGGCUGUGCAAACUCGUAAGAGGAAGUAUACAGUCUGACGCCUGCCCAGUGCUGGAAGGUUAAUAAGAGAGGUUAGCAGCAAUGCGAAGCUUUGAAUUGAAGCCCCAGUAAACGGCGGCCGUAACUAUAACGGUCCUAAGGUAGCGAAGUACCUUGUCGGGUAAAUUCCGACGCGCAUGAAUGGCGUAACGAGUUGGGCGCUGUCUUGGUGAUAUACUCAGUGAAUUUGUAGUGCCGGUGAAAAUGCCGGCUACCCGCGACAGGACGGAAAGACCCCGUGCACCUUUACUAUAGCUUGACAUUGAUUUUUGGAUUGAUUUGUGUAGGAUAGGCGGGAGACUUUGAAGCCGAGGCGCUAGCUUUGGUGGAGUCAACCUUGAAAUACCGCCCCUAUCCGUUUGAGAAUCUAACUUCGAAUACCCGUAAUCCGGGCGAAGAACAGUGUCUGGUGGGUAGUUUGACUGGGGUGGUCGCCUCCCAAAUUGUAACGGAGGCGUUCAAAGGUCCCCUCAUGACGAAUAGAAAUCGUCGGUAGAGCGCAAAAGCAGAAGGGGGCUUGACUGCAAGACAGACAAGUCGAGCAGGUGCGAAAGCAGGAUUUAGUGAUCCAGUAGUUCCGAAUGGAAGGGCUAUUGCUAAACGGAUAAAAGGUACGCCGGGGAUAACAGGCUGAUCUCCUCUAAGAGUCCAUAUCGACGAGGAGGUUUGGCACCUCGAUGUCGGAUCAUCACAUCCUGGGGGUGGAGAAGCUCCCAAGGGUUUGGCUGUUCGCCAAUUAAAGUGGUACGUGAGCUGGGUUCAGAACGUCGUGAGACAGUUCGGUCCAUAUCCGUCGUGGGCGUAGAAUAUUUGAAGAGGGCUGUCCCUAGUACGAGAGGACCGGGAUGGGCGAGCCUCUGGUGUUCCAGUUGUUUACCAAAAGCAGCGCUGGGUAGCCAAGCUCGUAAGAGAUAACCGCUGAAAGCAUCUAAGUGGGAAACUCGCUCUAAGAUAAGAUAUUCCUUGAAACUCCUUGAAGACUACGAGGUUGAUAGGUCGGGUGUGUACAUACCGUAAGGUAUUUAGCUAACCGAUACUAAUAAGUUGAUUGUUUUUUUCAC